rnacentral:tRNA from 1 species
GCCUGGCUGGCUCAGUUGGUGGAGCAUAGGACUCUUGAUCUCAGGGUUAUGAGUUCAAGCCCCAUGUUGGGUA